UACGAAGGGGGCUAGCGUUGUUCGGAAUUACUGGGCGUAAAGCGUGCGCAGGCGGCUUCUCAAGUCAGGGGUGAAAGCCCAGAGCUCAACUCUGGAAUUGCCUUUGAGACUGAGUGGCUUGAGUACGAGAGAGGUGAGUGGAAUUCCUGGUGUAGCGGUGAAAUGCGUAGAUAUCAGGAGGAACACCUGUGGCGAAAGCGGCUCACUGGACCACAACUGACGCUGAUGCACGAAAGCUAGGGGAGCAAACAGG
rnacentral:rRNA from 1 species